GGUUGUGUAGUGUAGGGGUUAGCACGUGAGAUUUUGAUCUGGUAUUGAUUUCUCGAGACCUGGGUUCGAUUCCCAGCACGACCU
rfam:Pyronema omphalodes CBS 100304, CBS100304, WGS project CATG01000000 data, contig: Pcon_v1_contig579